rnacentral:rRNA from 1 species
GACGAACCGUCCAAACGUUGUUCGGAUUCACUGGGUUUAAAGGGCGCGUAGGCGGUCUGUUAAGUCGGUGGUGAAAUACUUCAGCUCAACUGGAGAAUGGCCGCUGAAACUGGCAGGCUCGAGGGAGGGAGAGGUGCGUGGAACUUCCGGUGGAGCGGUGAAAUGCGUUGAUAUCGGAAGGAACACCUGUGGCGAAGGCGGCGCACUGGACCUCUACUGACGCUGAGGCGCGAAAGCCAGGGUAGCGAACGGG